rnacentral:rRNA from 1 species
UUGGCGGACGGGUGAGUAACGCGUGGGUAACCUGCCCCAUACCGGGGGAUACCACCUGGAAACAGGUGCUAAUACCGCAUAAGCGCACGGGAGCGCAUGCUCCUGUGUGAAAAACUCCGGUGGUAUGGGAUGGACCCGCGUCUGAUUAGCCAGUUGGCAGGGUAACGGCCUACCAAAGCGACGAUCAGUAGCCGGCCUGAGAGGGUGGACGGCCACAUUGGGACUGAGACACGGCCCAAACUCCUACGGGAGGCAGCAG